AUCCAGCAGACGAGUCCAAAAUUGGACGAAAUGCGCAACCUGGAU
rnacentral:hammerhead_ribozyme from 1 species